rnacentral:lncRNA from 1 species
CCCCUCAGACUUUUUUGCCUCCAGGUUCAGGGCUAACCUCUUCUGUGAGCUCACUCUGCCUCUCCUCCUCCCUUAACUCUCUCCAUGUUAUCCGUUCACUUAUGACAUUGCUUCUGGU